GUACGUACAGCGAGAGUUCUUGUUUUGCUGCACCACUUUGAGGUGUUGUAGUGGUGGGAGUAAGGAGUUUAGUGAGGUCCUGGACUUGAUUUCCGUGAACUAAUGGGUAGGAGUUCUUUAGCAAGGGAAGAAAAAAUUCCAUAUUGUCUGAAGACUUGCUAGCAAAUAGGGAGUAAUUGAAGAAAUACACUUGAACACAUCACUACUGAAAUGAGAGGAGAUAAAUGAACCGUUUACCUUUAAGAGGCUAUUAAAGAAAAUAAAAUUGUUCUCAGUGAGAGAGAAGGAAGCAUCCAGGAAAACUGCUGAAAGUUUUGAGGAAACCCUGCGUACUUACAUUGGAACGAAAAUGAGAAGUUUGGCUGCUAAGGUGAAGGCAUUGAAAGAAGUCAGGCACACAAGGAAGAACAGUUGUUUUGGGGAGCAGCUCUCAGAAGCCAUAAAAGUGGUCACAGAAGGAUGUCUCACUGUUCCGUGUUCCUUGGAAAAAUUGCAGAAGAUUUGGACAGAGUAUGACUUGGCUCAAGA
rnacentral:lncRNA from 1 species